rnacentral:rRNA from 1 species
UACGUAGGGUGCAAGCGUUAAUCGGAAUACUGGGCGUAAAGCGUGCGCAGGCGGUUGUGUAAGACAGGUGUGAAAUCCCCGGGCUUAACCUGGGAACUGCAUUUGUGACUGCAUAGCUAGAGUACGGUAGAGGGGGGAUGGAAUUCCGCGUGUAGCAGUGAAAUGCGUAGAUAUGCGGAGGAACACCGAUGGCGAAGGCAAUCCCCUGGACCCUGUACUGGACGCUCAUGCACGAAAGCGUGGGGAGCAAACAGGAUU